rnacentral:rRNA from 1 species
UACGGGGGGUGCGAGCGUUGUCCGGAAUCACUGGGCGUAAAGGGCGCGUAGGUGGUUUGAUAAGGGUGUGGUGAAAGCCCGGGGCUCAACCCCGGGUCUGCCGUGCCGACUGUCAAACUCGAGGGCUGUAGAGGCAGACGGAAUUCCGGGUGUAGCGGUGGAAUGCGUAGAGAUCCGGAGGAACACCAGUGGCGAAGGCGACACGCUGGGCCGUACCUGACACUAAAACGCGACAGCAUGGGGAGCGAACGGG